UUUUUUUUUUUUUUUUUUUUCCUUUUCUAGACAGAGUUUUAAAAAUGGUAUUCUGUCAAGUUACCGUAUGCAAUGUUUACGUGCUUUGUUCAUUUGUUUUCAUUCGAAACUUCCACAUGAUUAUUUUCGACAUUGUUUUACUUGCCAGCUAACCAUCCAGUCGGUUAAUAAACGAUAGGCAACAAGGUUUCAAGCUCUUCAAUUGCCUGGUCCAUUUGUUCACUCAUGUCAGGGAAGUAGUAGUAGUAGUAGAAGGAACAUAGUUAAGAAAAAUGAGUUAUUCACUUGCAAACACAGACAGUGGCAGACAUAGCUGGAUUAAGACUUGCCCCUCAGAGAGAGUGAUCACUGAACCGAAUUACAGAGACGGGUUUCAACACAGAAACAGGUCCUGGUUAAGAAAUCUAGGAAGACCUUAAGAUCCAGCAAGAGAUAUCUGCAAAGAACCGACGGUCAAAGCUGCAUCGGCAAUAGCGAAACAGGUU
rnacentral:lncRNA from 1 species